rnacentral:rRNA from 1 species
CAGUCGCCGCGGUAAUACAGAGGGUGCGAGCGUUAAUCGGAUUUACUGGGCGUAAAGCGUGCGUAGGCGGCUUUUUAAGUCGGAUGUGAAAUCCCUGAGCUUAACUUAGGAAUUGCAUUCGAUACUGGGAAGCUAGAGUAUGGGAGAGGAUGGUAGAAUUCCAGGUGUAGCGGUGAAAUGCGUAGAGAUCUGGAGGAAUACCGAUGGCGAAGGCAGCCAUCUGGCCUAAUACUGACGCUGAGGUACGAAAGCAUGGGGAGCAAACAGGAUUAGAUACCCCAGUAGUCCCUGUCUUUAUACC